UCAAGUGACUAAGUGUAUGUGGUGGAUGCCUUGGCGAUCACAGGCGAAGAAGGACGUAGUAGCUUGCGAUAAGCUGCGGGGAGCCGGCAAACGGGCAUUGAUCCGCAGAUUUCCGAAUGGGGGAACCCACCGACGUAAGUCGGUAUCACACACUGAAUACAUAGGUGUGUGAGGCGAACGGAGCGAACUGAAACAUCUAAGUAGCUCCAGGAAAAGAAAUCAACCGAGAUUGCGAAAGUAGCGGCGAGCGAAAUUGCAGCAGCCCAGUGUUCUGAUAGCACGAACGACAGCAGAAAGGUCUGGAAAGGCCUGCUAUAGAGGGUGAUAGCCCCGUAUGCGAAAUCGGACGUGUGGUACUAAGGGACCGAUAAGUAGGGCGGGACACGUGACAUCCUGUCUGAAGAUGGGGGGACCAUCCUCCAAGGCUAAAUACUCGUGAUCGACCGAUAGUGAACCAGUACUGUGAAGGAAAGGCGAAAAGAACCCCGGGAGGGGAGUGAAAUAGAACCUGAAACCGCAUACAUACAAACAGUAGGAGCCCGUGUAGUCGGGUGACUGCGUACCUUUUGCAUAAUGGGUCAGCGACUUACGUUUUGUGGCGAGCUUAACCGAGUAGGGGAGGCGUAGCGAAAGCGAGUUCGAAUAGAGCGAGAAGUCUCAAGGCGUAGACCCGAAACCAGAUGAGCUAUCCAUGGCCAGGUUGAAGGUGUGGUAACACACACUGGAGGACCGAACCGACUAGUGUUGCAAAAUUAGCGGAUGAGCUGUGGAUAGGGGUGAAAGGCUUAACAAAUCUGGAGAUAGCUGGUUCUCCCCGAAAACUAUUGAGGUAGUGCCUCGUGUAUUGCUCCAGGGGGUAGAGCACUGUUAUGGCUAGGGGGACAUGGCGUCUUACCAAACCAUGGCAAACUCCGAAUACUUGGAAGUAAGAGCACGGGAGACAGAGCACCGGGUGCUAACGUCCGGACUCAAGAGGGAAACAACCCAGACCGCCGUUUAAGGUCCCAAAUAUUGACUAAGUGGAAAACGAAGUGUGAAGGCUAAGACAGUCAGGAAGUUGGCUUAGAAGCAGCCAUCCUUCAAAGAAAGCGUAAUAGCUCACUGAUCGAGUCCUCAUGCGCGGAAGAUGUAACGGGGCUAAGUCAAUAACCGAAAGCGCGGAUUUGCACGAUAAGUGCAAGUGGUAGGGGAGCGUUCUGUAAGCCUGCGAAGGUGGUUCGAGAGGACUGCUGGAGGUAUCAGAAGUGCGAAUGCUGACAUGAGUAACGUUAAAGCGGGUGAAAAGCCCGCUCGCCGUAAGCCCAAGGUUUCCUGCUCUACGUUCAUCGGAGCAGGGUGAGUCGGCCCCUAAGGCCAGGCUGAGAAGCGUAGUCGAUGGGAAGCAGAUUAAUAUUUCUGCACCAUGUGCAAGUGCGAUGGGGGGACGGAGUGCGAAAGAUCAUCCGGGUGUUGGAUGUCCCGGUUUGUGAGUGUAGAAGGCCGACAGGCAAAUCCGUCGGCGGAUCUUCGAGACAAAGCAUCGAGGUUCUACGGAACCGAAGUGAUCGGAAGUGCUUCCAGGAAAAGCCUCUAAGCUUCAGCUUGCAUGUGACCGUACCGUAAACCGACACUGGUGGGCGAGUUGAAUAUACUCAGGCGCUUGAGAGAACUCGGGAGAAGGAACUCGGCAAAUUGACACCGUAACUUCGGGAUAAGGUGUGCCUUUGUAGCGUGAAGAGAGAAACACUCGGAGCGUGAAGAGGCCUCAGAGAAUCGGUGGCUGCAACUGUUUAUUAAAAACACAGCACUCUGCAAAGACGAAAGUCGACGUAUAGGGUGUGAUGCCUGCCCGGUGCUGGAAGAUUAAGUGAUGGGGUGAGAGCUCCUGAUCGAAGUCCCAGUAAACGGCGGCCGUAACUAUAACGGUCCUAAGGUAGCGAAAUUCCUUGUCGGGU
rnacentral:rRNA from 1 species